rnacentral:rRNA from 1 species
CCUACGGGUGGCAGCAGUGGGGGAUAUUGCACAAUGGGGGAAACCCUGAUGCAGCGACGCCGCGUGGGUGAAGAAGCGCCUCGGCGCGUACAGCCCUGUUAGCAGGGAAGAAAAUGACGGUACCUGAAGAAGAAGCCCCGGCUAACUACGUGCCAGCAGCCGCGGUAAUACGGAGGGGGCAAGCGUUAUCCGGAUUUACUGGGUGUAAAGGGGGCGCAGACGGGUGUGCAAGCCAGGAGUGAAAGCCCGGGGCCCAACCCCGGAACUGCUAUUGGAACUGCGUGGCUAGAGUGCAGAAGGGGCAGGCGGAAUUCCUGGUGUAGCGGUGAAAUGCGUAGAUAUCAGGAGGAACACCGGUGGCGAAGGCGGCCUGCUGGACUGCAACUGACGUUGAGGCCCGAAAGCGUGGGGAGCAAACAGGAUUAGAUACCCGGGUAGUC